AUUGAACGCUGGCGGCAGGCUUAACACAUGCAAGUCGAGCGGGGGAAGGUAGCUUGCUACCGGACCUAGCGGCGGACGGGUGAGUAAUGCUUAGGAAUCUGCCUAUUAGUGGGGGACAACAUCUCGAAAGGGAUGCUAAUACCGCAUACGUCCUACGGGAGAAAGCAGGGGGUCUUCGGACCUUGCGCUAAUAGAUGGGCCUACGUCGGAUUAGCUAGUUGGUGGGGUAAAGGCCUACCAAGGCGACGAUCUGUAGCGGGUCUGAGAGGAUGAUCCGCCACACUGGGACUGAGACACGGCCCAGACUCCUACGGGAGGCAGCAGUGGGGAAUAUUGGACAAUGGGCGGAAGCCUGAUCCAGCCAUGCCGCGUGUGUGAAGAAGGCCUUUUGGUUGUAAAGCACUUUAAGCGAGGAGGAGGCUACUUAGAUUAAUACUCUGGGAUAGUGGACGUUACUCGCAGAAUAAGCACCGGCUAACUCUGUGCCAGCCGCCGCGGUAA
rnacentral:rRNA from 1 species